rnacentral:rRNA from 1 species
CCUACGGGUGGCAGCAGUAGGGAAUCUUCCGCAAUGGGCGAAAGCCUGACGGAGCAACGCCGCGUGAGUGAAGAAGGAUUUCGGUUCGUAAAGCUCUGUUGUUAGGGAAGAAUGAUUGUGUAGUAACUAAACACAGUAGAGACGGUACCUAACCAGAAAGCCACGGCUAACUACGUGCCAGCAGCCGCGGUAAUACGUAGGUGGCAAGCGUUGGCCGGAAUUAUUGGGCGGAAAGCGCGCGCAGGUGGUUUAAUAAGUCUGAUGUGAAAGCCCACGGCUCAACCUUGGAGGGUCAUUGGACACUGUUAUACUUGAGUGCAGGAGAGAAAAGUGGAAUUCCUGGUGUAGCGGUGAAAUGCGUAGAGAUUAGGAGGAACACCAGUGGCGAAGGCGGCUUUUUGGCCUGUAACUGACACUGAGGCGCGAAAGCGUGGGGAGCAAACAGGAUUAGAUACCCCUGUAGUC